UCAUUUCUCUCUUUGCUUUCUCUCUCUUCACUUCUCCCUCUCAGACGUCUCUCUUCAGUCCCUCUUCUCUCAUCAACCCAGCUCACCGUAAAAACAGACCUAGCCCCGACCACCACCUCUAACCACCUUAGACCGCCGCAAAAACACCCAACUCUGGUUGAACUUCAACCGGAGGAUUCAUAUGUUGAUCCAAACCCCAGUGUUCUUCAACCCCACCUUCAACUUAUGGGUUCCUCAAAUGAACCCUAAGUCCAAAACACCAAGAACCCAAUGAACCCUGCCCAUAUUCAUAUGAACCCUAACCCUAAAUCAUGAACCCUAAACCUGAAUCACGAAUCCUAAACCUAAAUCAGAUUCAAACUUAAACAGUCCCCCUGAUUUUCAUAAAUCGGGAUCUGAUGCUAACGUACCCAAACCCUUACAAACAUCCACACGUCAUUUAAAACAAAGUCAAACACAUAGAUGCAAAAAAAAAAGCGAUUAAGUUAAAGAGAUCCACCAACCAACGGAAUUGAGGAGUAUUCCGAUUAUUAAAGGAAGCUGGGCUCGAGUGAAUUAGGGUUUCAAUGUGAACCCUAAACACCAAUGUUCUGCACUUUUUAGUGAGGAUUUCCAAUUUACAAUGGUAAAUAUGUUAUGGUUAUUUCUUAAUUUUUUCUCCCUCGAUUAUGAUUUAGACCAAGGUACUUAUAGAUUAGGAAUUAGGGCUUGGAUUUAAUUCUGAUUGUUUUUAGAAAAACUUGUAAUUUGAUUAUGAUUGUAAUUGAUUUAAUUAGAUUUUUAGGUUUUUUAGGUUUUCGGAUUGCACUGUGUACUUGGACUAAUUUCCCUUGUAAAUCCAAAUUUUUGAUGUAUCUAAAAUCUAAAUGGAAAGAUUUGAUUGUUUGUUUAUUCAA